GCUUGCAGUUCCUUUGGAAUGCGUAGCGAACGCCUGACAGCCGCUGGUCGAUAAACAUGCACUGCAGCAGGUGGACAGAUAUUGGAUUAUAUCAUUGGAGGAUCAUCUACAGGGGCACGUCACUUUAUGACAGGUUGCCACCUUUGCACAAAUUCCUAUCAACAAUACUGUAAAACCCUGGCAUGUGAGGGUGUGGAGGAAGAAUCAUAGAGACAGCAGCCUGGAUGGGGCAUCAUUUGGAGCUGUUGGAGGAAACAAACCCCCCACACACUCCAGACCAGACUCACCACAGUUCAAAAACAACACGUGCAGCUGUAUGUGUGUAUGCACCCGUGCGUGUCUGCGUUGCUCGCAGAGUACGAAGGAAAGGCUUGCAGCUGUGACCCUCUGAUUGUGAUAUCAGUGUAGACAGGAGGAGUGUGUGUGUGUCUGGAUGCGCCUUUACAGAAGGCUCUUUAUACUCUGCCUUGAAAACCCCAUCAAUGCCAGAAAUAAAGAGACAAAAGUCAGUGCAGUCAUUGCUGGCAUGCAGACCACUAUGCUGUUUCUCACAUAUCUGUCUGUGUUUUUUUUGUUUGUUUUCAAGAUAUACUUUUUCUUCUGAGUCACAAUUUAUUAGCAAUGUGAUUUAUUAUUUACGGAUGUUAUAUGUAUAAAUGAUAUAAAUACUAAGUGUGUGUGUGUGUGUGUGUGUGUGUGUGUGUGCGUAGAAGGGCUUAAACAGCUUUGCAAAAACAUUCUUUAACAUUAGACAUUAUUUCACGCAUUCUUAUCUAUGUCCCAUCAUAAAGAUAACGUUAUUUGCUUAUUUUUUAUGUACACUGUUAGCUCUUAGACAUAUAAUGCAAACUCUGUGUUUAUAUCUCCGAGGUUUAGUGCAUUUUAUUUGAAUAACGUGUGACGCAUGCAAAUUUAGAAUGGACUUGCGUAAACUAUAGCCACACACGCUUGUGUCAUUUAUAGAAACACUUUCUUUUAUGUAACACUUGACAUUAAACUUAUCCCUAU